GCGGAGGGAUCAUUGCUGGAACGCGCCCCAGGCGCACCCAGAAACCCUUUGUGAACUUAUACCUUACUGUUGCCUCGGCGCUACGUGGUCCUUCGGGGCCCCUCACCCUCGGGUGUUGAGACAGCCCGCCGGCGGCCAACCCAACUCUUGUUUUUACACUGAAACUCUGAGAAUAAAACAUAAAUGAAUCAAAACUUUCAACAACGGAUCUCUUGGUUCUGGCAUCGAUGAAGAACGCAGCGAAAUGCGAUAAGUAAUGUGAAUUGCAGAAUUCAGUGAAUCAUCGAAUCUUUGAACGCACAUUGCGCCCUCUGGUAUUCCGGAGGGCAUGCCUGUUCGAGCGUCAUUUCAACCCUCAAGCCUGGCUUGGUGAUGGGGCACUGCUUUUACCCAAGAGCAGGCCCUGAAAUUCAGUGGCGAGCUCGCCAGGACCCCGAGCGCAGUAGUUAAACCCUCGCUCUGGAAGGCCCUGGCAGGGCCCUGCCGUUAAACCCCCAACUUCUGAAAAUUUGACCUCGGAUCAGGUAGGAAUACCCG
rnacentral:rRNA from 1 species